rnacentral:snRNA from 1 species
AUACUUACCUGGCAAGGGAGACACCAUGAUCACGAAAGUGGUUUUCCCAGGGCGAGGCUUAUCCAUUGCACUCCAGAUGUGCUGACCCCUGGGAUUUCCCCAAAUGUGGGAAACUCGACCGCAUAAUUGGUGGUAGUGGGGGACUGUGUUUAAUAAAAAAAAAAAAGAAGAAAUUCAAAUUCCAA